rnacentral:misc_RNA from 1 species
UCCGGUUUGUCACCGGCAGUCGAUUGUGAGUCCCCACCUUUACGUGCUGGUAACACAAUCUAAGGGUUGCGCUCGUUGCGGGACUUAACCCAACAUCUCACGACACGAGCUGACGACAACCAUGCACCACCUGUCUCCCCUGCCCAAACGGGACUCCCUAUCUCUAGGGAUGUCAGGGGGAUGUCAAGCCCUGGUAAGGUUCUUCGCGUUGCUUCGAAUUAAACCACAUGCUCCACUGCUUGUGCGGGCCCCCGUCAAUUCCUUUGAGUUUCAGUCUUGCGACCGUACUCCCCAGGCGGAGUGCUUAUUGGGUUUCCUUCGGCACUGAGGGCGUCGAAACCCCCAACACCUAGCACUCAUCGUUUACGGCGUGGACUAC